rnacentral:rRNA from 1 species
CCUACGGGCGGCAGCAGUGGGGAAUAUUGGGCAAUGUGCGAAAGCCUGACCCAGCAACGCCGCGUGAAGGAAGAAGGCUUUCGGGUUGUAAACUUCUUUUGACAGGGAAGAGCAGAAGACGGUACCUGUCGAAUAAGCAACGGCCAAAUACGUGCCAGCAGCCGCGGUAAUACGGAGGUGGCCAGCGGUGUCUGGAUUUAAUGGGUGUAAAGGGCGUGUAGCCGGGAUGACAAGUCAGAUGUGAAAACCGGGGGCUCAACCCCCGAACUGCAGUUGAAACUGGUGGUCUUGAGUAUCGGAGAGGCAGGCGGAAUUCCUAGUGUAGCGGUGAAAUGCGUAGAUAUUAGGAGGAACACCGGUGGCGAAGGCGGCUUACUGGACUGUAACUGACGUUGAGGCUCGAAAGCGUGGGGAGCAAACAGGAUUAGAUACCCGGGUAGUC